CAAGUUUGACACACCACACCACGGUGGAUGUGCCUUGUCAUGACACAUCUCAGCAGCACUAGAAGAUACAUCCAAAGUCCUGUGAGCAAGGUCUGUGGUAUCUGUUUAUUAUGGCAGCCCAGUAAGACUAAGACAGGCCAUCACAAGACGUGAACGUUUUGGACCUUCUCUUGGGCCCUAGUAAACAGAAAUCAGGCUAUUUAUUAAACUAAUCCACGUUCUGAACAGUUAUUGCUACUGGAAACCAGUCCCGAUCCAGACCACAAAAGACGAUUCUUGGAUCUUGCACAAGAAAGAAAGGCUUUGCUUCCACUUCUAAGUGAGAACAUACAGUGUUUGGUUUUUCAUUCCUGAGUUACUUCACCUAGAACAAUGGCCUCCAGCUCCAUCCAAGUUGCUGCAGAAGACAUUUCAUUCCUUUUAUGGCUGAGUAGUAUUCCAUGUCCAGUGAUUCAAGUUUGACACACCACACCACGGUGGAUGUGCCUUGUCAUGACACAUCUUCUCAGCAGCACUAGAAGAUACAUCCAAAGUCCUGUGAGCAAGGACACAGCGAGAAGAUGGCUGUCUACAAGCCAGGAAGAGAGUCCUCACCAGAACCAAACCCUGCUGGACUUUGAUCUUGGACUUCCCAGCCUCUAAAACUGUGAAGACAUAAAUUUCUGUUGUUAAACCCACACAGGUCUGUGGUAUCUGUUUAUUAUGGCAGCCCAGUAAGACUAAGACAGGCCAUCACAAGACAUGAAUGUUUUGGACCUUCUCUUGGGCCCUAGUAAACAGAAAUCAGGUACGCAAAAGGGGUAAGCAUAUAAUUUCCUUUAUUUUUAUUUUUAAUGUGUAAGCCUUAGGUUUUUAUUUAUUUAUUUGGUGAAGACAAUCACAUUGUGUACGUACAAUGUAAUUAUAUUGUUGACGAGAAGUUACUUAAAAUUUUUUAAAAAUUCUAAUCGAUUUCUAGAUGUCCAAAUGAGAAGAUAGCAUUUAUAUACCAUCAGAACAUAAAAUAAUUCAAAAAAAUAAAUUUAUAAAACAAUAUGUAUUAUAUUGAGAGAAAGAGAGGGAGAGAGUAUUGGAAGAAUAUAUGCAAAUACAAUGUGAUAAUGUGAUGUCUUUGUGAGAAUGCUAUAUGUCAUUUUCUUUGUUUAUAUGAAUUUUUACAAUUUUUACCUUUGAAAUAUAAAAAAGAGAGAAUAAAAGUCAUUGAAAAAAUCAAAAGUAACUAUUUUCAUAGGUGAGUAAGUAUACAUCUUUAACAGAACAGCAAAGAGUCGAUGAAUGUUCAGAGAUAUUAUAUAAGUAACAGAUAAGAAGUGUCCUGAUCUAUGGUAUUCAUUCUCAGUUGCAAAUAUAUAUGCAAAAAACCCCACA
rnacentral:lncRNA from 10 species